AUGUUCUGCUUAUGGAAAACUGCUCCAGAAACGCAAACCUUGCACCUGAGAGUGCAGCAGCCUCACCUGCAGCCACCAGGAGGAAAUUCCUGCUGCACAUGGAGCUGCACAGCUGCCUGCAGGAGGGAGGAAAAAAAAAAUCCCUGUGCACUGGAAUAUAAUCUCAAGGGAAAGGAAAAUGGAAGGAAUGUGGAAGCAAAGAUUUGGGAUUUUACACGUGGAGGGCCUCUAAUUUGCAGCAAAUUGUCCAAGCCCUUCCCCUGGCUGAAGUGGAGAGUGCAGUCCAGAAGAACCAACCUGCCCAAGGUGGGAACCAAGCAGCAGAAGGCUGAUGGAGACCAGGAUCACACAACAAAAUUUCUCACACCAAAGUCAGCCAAGAAAAGGGAGUUGGAAACUUUUAUUUUUAAGGGGCAUCUUCCUAACCAGGGCAUUGGGGCUGAGAAUCUCCCUUACCUUUUGCACUGGAACAUCAUAGCUGGAAUCAAUAAUCAAUAUUUUUAG
rnacentral:lncRNA from 1 species